rnacentral:tRNA from 1 species
CGGUGCGCUGGGCGCCGGUGGGCCUGCCGGACAUGUUCAACUCCGGGGCGGCCGUCCUCUCCCAGGAGGU